rnacentral:lncRNA from 1 species
UUUGGGACACGUGUCGCAAUAUCUGGGCUCUAAAUUUUGGUUUUGGCGGGAAAACAUAUUAGCAAUCUUGAUGCGGGAUCCGUUUAUAUUUUUGGGUUGGAAUGUGAAUUCGGGUCAUGAAAACGGAUCCAUAUGUAACGUCUUACCUUCUAUACUCAAACCCUAGAAUUCACAAUCUUCUCAUUCACGCCUUCUUUCUUCAAUCCUCUGCUCCAUUCAACCUUCAAUGAUAUGGAUUUUGAGAAUGAGAGCCAGAGAGAGAAAGAGGGGAUUUGGGAGAAACAGACCGCUAAUUUCCAUUUUGGUUUCUGGAAUUGGUGAAUCGGGCGAUGUUGAUGAGGUUCAACUCGUGGUGGUGUUGUCUUGAUAGGGUCGAAUUUAGCUGGUUUAGGUCCUGUCUGACCCGGUUUGUUUUCUUAUAUUAUGUUUUUGUUGUUUGAAUUGGUUUAUGUGCACCCCUACAAUUCAUAACUAACAACUUAAGAGGGAAUAUGUGCAUGCAUCCUAUGACAACUACAUCACCAACUCUAUCAGUUACACAACAUAAGCCAGCCCCUAUAGUUAUCUACUUCUUAGAUAGGGGCCGUUCGUUUGCUACAAAAAAGAUACGUCAAGUCAUUUUAUGUUAAGCACAAUAUUAGUAUUUUA